rnacentral:tRNA from 1 species
GGGAAGAUGGCUCAGUGGUAGAGUGCUUGCCUUGUGUGCAUGAGGCCCUAGGUUCAAUUCCUCAGUACCA